CUUGAGGUGGCUUCCGGCCGCCAGGCGAGACUCCGCGGGAAAACUCCCUGCUAGAGAGACUAGGAGAUUUGGGGCUGCGGCCGUUUCCUCCGGAGCACCCACGGGACUGUGUGCUGGGGUCCCUCCACCGGCUGUGUCCUUUAUUCUUCUUUCUCACCCAACGAUUUACCUGAACGGUUAUAAAGUGCACGUUAUUUCCCUAAGGUCCUUCUUACUGAUGUGUUGCUCUUCUUCAUGGCUCGUGAAAACUAUUAGAGUCAUCCAAGGUUUGGAGACAGAAAGGAGCACCGCCAAGUGAGGCAGAGCAGUCUCAGAAACAUAGGAAAAUGGUGGGAAGAGAGAUCAGCAACGUUAACUGGGUGUCAAGAAAACAUACCGAGAUUGAAGCCAUCCACUUCUGCAGGAACACCGAAAAGAAAGGUACAACGCUUGGGGAAAGACUGGAUUUCAUUAGGGACAGUGACAAUACCUGUUUGACAUAGAGGUUCCAGCGCUGGCCAGGGAACUCCCUGAGCACUAGUAAUGCCAGUGUCAGUUGUAGAAUUCUUUUAAAAUUUGAGUUAAUAGGGUCACUACUUUUUGAAUGCCUGCUGCAGAAACUAAGAAAAAUGGCUGGCUGAGCCAAUAGAAGAGGAUUUUGUAGCUCAACUCCUGGGGAAGAAAAUACUCCUUUUGACGGAGGGCAGGUGCUGUAGACCUUGCAAGGACAUAGCCAGUCUGCAAUGUCAUCUAGGCCCACCCGCUAAAGUUUUAAAAGUAAAGUAAAGUAUUU
rnacentral:lncRNA from 1 species